rnacentral:rRNA from 1 species
GGAGGGUGCGAGCGUUGUUCGGAAUCAUUGGGCGUAAAGCGCGUGUAGGCGGCUUGGUAAGUCGGGUGUGAAAUCCCGGGGCCCAACCCCGGAACUGCAUUCGAAACUGCCUCGCUAGAGUCCCGGAGAGGAAGGCGGAAUUCCCGGUGUAGAGGUGAAAUUCGUAGAUAUCGGGAGGAACACCAGCGGCGAAGGCGGCCUUCUGGACGGUGACUGACGCUGAGACGCGAAAGCGUGGGGAGCAAACAGGAUUAGAUACCCUGGUAGUCCACGCCGUAAACGUUGGGUGCUAGGUGUCGCGGGUAUUGACCCCUGCGGUGCCGUCGUUAACGCAUUUAGCACCCCGCCUGGGGAGUACGGUUGCAAGGCUA